rnacentral:rRNA from 1 species
UUGGAGGGCAAGUCUGGUGCCAGCAGCCGCGGUAAUUCCAGCUCCAAUAGCGUAUAUCAAAGUUGUUGCAGUUAAAAAGCUCGUAGUUGAAUUUCGGGGUUCUACCGUUGGUCGGGCUAACCAGUCUGUACUAGCGUGUAAAAUUCCUACCUUCUGGAGAACCAUCAUGUUAUUAAUUUAGCGUGGUGGGAAACCAGGACCUUUACCUUGAAAAAAUUAGAGUGUUCAAAGCAGGCUUACGUCUGAAUACGUUAGCAUGGAAUAAUAGAAUAGGACGGUGGUCCUGUUUUGUUGGUUUCUGAAUCACCGUAAUGAUUAAUAGGGAUAGUUGGGGGCAUUAGUAUUCAAUUGUCAGAGGUGAAAUUCUUGGAUUUAUUGAAGACUAACUUCUGCGAAAGCAUUUGCCAAGGAUGUUUUCAUUAAUCAAGAACGAAAGUUAGGGGAUCGAAGACGAUCAGAUACCGUCGUAGUCUUAACCAUAAACUAUGCCGACUAGGGAUCGGACGAUGUU